rnacentral:rRNA from 1 species
GACGCUGACGAGUGGCGAACGGGUGAGUAAUACAUCGGAACGUGCCCAGUCGUGGGGGAUAACUACUCGAAAGAGUAGCUAAUACCGCAUACGAUCUGAGGAUGAAAGCGGGGGACUUUCGGGCCUCGCGCGAUUGGAGCGGCCGAUGGCAGAUUAGGUAGUUGGUGGGAUAAAAGCUUACCAAGCCGACGAUCUGUAGCUGGUCUGAGAGGACGACCAGCCACACUGGGACUGAGACACGGCCCAGACUCCUACGGGAGGCAGCAGUGGGGAAUUUUGGACAAUGGGCGAAAGCCUGAUCCAGCAAUGCCGCGUGCAGGAUGAAGGCCUUCGGGUUGUAAACUGCUUUUGUACGGAACGAAAAAGCUCCUUCUAAUACAGGGGGCCCAUGACGGUACCGUAAGAAUAAGCACCGGCUAACUACGUGCCAGCAGCCGCGGUAAUACGUAGGGUGCGAGCGUUAAUCGGAAUUACUGGGCGUAAAGCGUGCGCAGGCGGUUAUGUAAGACAGAUGUGAAAUCCCCGGGCUCAACCUGGGAACUGCAUUUGUGACUGCAUGGCUAGAGUACGGUAGAGGGGGAUGGAAUUCCGCGUGUAGCAGUGAAAUGCGUAGAUAUGCGGAGGAACACCGAUGGCGAAGGCAAUCCCCUGGACCUGUACUGACGCUCAUGCACGAAA